CCGCUCAGAGUUGAAGUAGGUCGGCUGUGUGUUCGCGAAAGACUUUCGUCUCUUGCGUCGGGAUCACUGUCUGCGGGCCGAAGAUAUCACUUUCCCUUCGUCAGACCUGCAGUGAGAGAUUUAUUGGAAGAAAAACCACGACUGAAGACGAAGGAACAGCAACAAGUGAACCAGCCCGAGGAUUGAGAGCACUGAUUGGAGAGAAACCAUCUGACUCAGAGAUUCCAUUGAUUCAGUCCGGAGAAAGUUUGGGCCAUGCGUUAAGAAUUUUGCCAGCGCUGAAGCGCCAAUGAAAUGCGCAGGCGUCAGGCUGAGGACGUCCCCGAUGCACGCAGUACACAGAAGGCCUUGAAAAUGUCGGGUGCAGGGAGCUGGCAUCAAACCGACGGGCCGAGCGGUCUCCUCCUACCUCUCGGUGACACAUCAGACUCCGGCCGCAGGUGACGCUUCACAAACGCCCCAACUUCUCUUGGAGGGAAAUGGAAAUAAAUCAAAAAACGGACAUUUACUCCACUGUGAUGUGGAGUUUGAGGCCGGAGCGGGAGGCGAACUCAGCAGGGGUAACGCCCUCUGGACUUGUCCAACUCUGCGACUGGUGGUAACAAGUGAUUGACAUCGCUUUGCACCAAUGGGAAUAGUGCAGCCCCUGAAUCCUCUGUUGAUAGCGGUGGGGGAGGGCUGGUCAUGUGAUUAUUAGCCCAGCUAUUAAACUGAUAAAGCCCGAGCUCACCAGCGCAUGGAUGACGUAAGACGCUGUGCACGUAAGGGCAGAUCCCGGUGUGGGAAGCCCAUGCGUGACGUCAGGUGCGAGGGGGGUCUGUGCGACGUCACCUGUGGGGAUGCGCUCGCAUUUAAAUGCACCUUAAUGUGCGUUUCUUAUGAUUUCAGAGGGACAACAACAUUAAUCAUGGGUUUCAUUACAGAAUCCACUGUUGUGAGAUGUAAAGUCACUUGUUAUGUGUCUGGCUGGGCCGUGUUGUUUUGGGGGCUAUUGAUCGAUUAAUUAUCUAUUUGAUUGGGCAUAUCCCUUUUGAUUUAUUUGUGUGUGGAAAUCAGCAGCAGUGGAUAUUGAUAAAUUUCUGUAGGUUGGAUGACUGAGUGAAUCCCUUCCCACGUACUUCCUCAUCCAGGUCAUCCACUCUUGGUCGUCCUGGAAUCAUUCUUUGAAACUUCUCCGGACCCACUCCAAUACGAACACAUCUUUUGCUCAGAUAAUAAGUCGUAAGUACAGGUCGGAAUCUGCUCACAAUACACCAACAGUGAUCUGCCCAAUGCGUUAUAAAGCUAUAGUAUCGCAUCCCUGCUCUUCUAAUGCUAACAUUGCAGUUGUCAUCUUUAAUCAACUCAAUUUGCAAGCAAACCUUUAGGGCCUCUUGCUCAAGGACUCACAAGCACUUAUGAACCUCUAUUUUUUUCAAGUUUCUCCCAUUUAUUUUUUUUCUACGCCCAAUUACUUCUACCAAAUGUACAUGACUUGCAUACACUGUAUUUCAACUGCUACUUUGCUGGCAUUCUCCAGGCCUAUCGAAGUCCUUCUGCAGACUCCCGCUUUGCUCUAAACUAUCUGUCCCGUACCUAUCUUUGUAUCAACUGCAAUGUUCGUCACCAAGGUAUCAAUUCCGUCAUCCAUAUCAUUCAGAUUUAACAUGAAACGAUGCGGUCUCAAUACUGACCCCUACAGAACAGCAUUAGUUACCGACAGCAAAACAGAAUUGCCCACAUUAUUCUGACACUUUCUCCCUUGUCAGCACAAGUUUCUUUCCUGUAAUUCCAUGAGCUGUGAUCCUGUUAAGCAGCCUCACGUGCAGCACCUUAGAAACAUAGAAAACCUGCGGCACGUUACAGGCCCUUUGGCUCACAAAGCGAUGCCGAACAUGUCCUUGCUCUAGAAAUGCCAAGGGUUACCUACAGUUCUCUAUUUUUCUAAGCUCCGUGUACCUAUCCAGGAGUCUCUUAAAAGACCCUAUCGUGUCCGCCUCCACCACCAUUGCCGGCAGCCCAUUCCAAACACUUACCACUCUCUAUGUAAAAAAAACAUACCCCUGACAUCUCCUCCGUACCUACUUCCAAGCAUCUUCAAACUAUGCCCUCUCGUGCUAGCACUUUCAGCCCUGGGAAAAAGCCUCUAACUAUCCACACGAUCAAUGUCUCUCAUUUUCAUGGACACCUUUAUCAGGACACCUCUUAUCCUCCAUCACUCCAAGGAGAAAAGACUGAGUUCACUCAAUCUAUCCCUAUCCAAACAACAUCCUCGUAAAUCUCCUCAGCACCCUUUCCAUGGCUUCCACAUCCUUCCUGUAAUUUGGCGACCAGGACUGAGCACAGUACUCCAAGUGGGGUCUGACCAAAGUCCUAUAUAGCUGCAACAUUACAUCUCGGCUUUUAAACUCAAGCCUGCGGAUGAUUAAGGCCAACGCACAGUGUGGCUUCUUAACCACAGAGUCAACCUACAUAGCAGCUUUGAGUGUCCUGUGGACUCCGUCCCCAAGAUCCCUCUGUUCCUCCACACUGCCAAGAGGCUUACAAUUAUUACUAUAUUCUAUCAUAUUUGACCGAAGCAAAUGAACCACAUCACACUUCUUUGGGUUGAAGUCCAUUUGCCGCUUCUCAGCCCAGGUUUGCAGACUAUCAAUAUCCCCCUGCAACCUAACCCAACCUUUGUGUCAUCAGCAAAUUUACUAACCCGUACCUCCACUUCCUCAUCCAGGUCAUUUAUUAAAGUCACGAAGGGUAGGGGUCCCAGAACCGAUCCCUGAGGCAGACCACUGGUCACCGACCUCCAUGCAGAAUAUGACCAGUAUACAACCACUCUUUGUCUUCCGUGAGCAAGCCAGUUCUGGAUGCACAAAGCAAUGUGCCCUUGGAUCCCAUGCCUCCUUACUUUCUCAAUAAGCCUUGCAUGGGGUACCUUGUUGAAGAUCAUCUGAAAAUCCAAGCAAACAACAUACACUGCCUCUGCUUUAUCUACCUUGCCUGUUAUUUCCGCAAAGUAUUCCAAGAGAUUUGUCAGUCAAGAUUUCCUUGAAGGAAUCCGGCAGACUUUGGCCUACUUCAUCAUGUUUCCCCAAUUACAGUACCCAAAAAACACACUCUUAGUACACUCUAACAUCUUCCUGACCACUAAGGUCAGACUGUCCAAUAAUAAUAACUGUCCAACAAUAAUAACUGUCCAAUAAUUUUCCUCUUAAAUUGUGGAGUGACAUUUGCAAAUUUCUGGUCCACCAGAACCUUUCCAAAAUCUAGUGAUUUGUGAUAGAUCAUUACUCAUCACUUGAAGAGAAAACUAAGGGGGAACUUCUUCAUUCAGAGGCGGGGAGAGUGUGCCCCGAGCUGCCAGAGCAAGUGGCAGGGACGAUUGUAAUCUUUUAGAGAAGUUUGCUUAGGUCACUGGAUGAGAAGCAUAUGGAGGGCGAUGGUCUAGGUGGAAUUUGUUGGAACUCGGAAGAUUAAUGCUUUAGCACGGACUAGACUGGCCGAAUGGCAUUUUCCUGUGUUGUAGUGUUUUAUGACUCUAAUGCCUUCACAAUCUCUUCAGCCACCUCUUUCUGAACUCUGCGGUGUCUUAUCUACCUUCAGGCCUUUCCGCUUCAAAAACCCCUUCUCUCCUUAGUAAAAGCAUGUAUCCUCACUUCUGCCCCAGGUACUGCUGAAUGUUUGGCUUUUAUGUAAUAAAUUUAAUGACACAACUGUAGUGGGUGACUUCACUCUGCAGGAGGAUUGGGAAAGUCAGAUUGGCGUGAGAUCGCAAAAGAGGAGAUGUAUUGAAUGCUAACGAAAUGGCUUUUUAGAGCCGCUGAUGGUUGAGCCUACUCGGGGAACUGCUAUCUUACAUUGGAUGUUGUGUAAUAACCCAGAUCUUAUUAGGCAGGUUAAUGUAAAGGAACCAUUAGAAGGCAGUGAUCAUAAUAUGAUUGAAGUCCUACUGCAAUUUGUGAGGGAGAAGCACAGGUCAGAUGCAUAGUAUCGCAGGGGAAUGACAGGGAAUUUCAGAGGCAUGAGAGAGGUGAUUCCUCAGGUGGAUGCUGGUGGAGAUGACGCCAGAGCAGAAAUGGCUGACGUUUCUGGGAUUAGUUCAUAAUGUACAGGAUAGAUAUGUCCCACAGACGUAGUACUGACAAAGGAAGUGAAAGACUGUACAAAAGCAUAUAAGGUAGCAAAAGUGAGUAGUAGGUUGGAUAACUGGGUAGCUUUUAACAUCCAACAGCAGGCAAAUUUAAAAUAAAAGCUAUAAGGGGAAAGGUGAAAUGAGACAGCAAACUAUACAAUAAUAUCAACCAGUUAUAAAAUAUACGAAAGGGAGGCUAGAGUUGAUAUUGGACCACUGGAAAAUGAUGCUCAUGUGGUACAAAUGGUUUAGAGAUGGUAGAUGAACUUGAUAGGUACUUUGCAUCCGUCUUGUCCGUGGAAGACACCACCAGUGUGCCAGAGAUCCGUGAGUGUCAGCGAACAGGAGUGAGUGCCAUUGCUAUUACAAAGGAAAACGUUUGAGGCAAACUCAGGUUCUUAAAGUGGAUAAGUCACCUGGACCAGAUGGACUACAUCCCAGAGUCCUGAGAGAGGUUGCUGGAGAGAUAACAGAUGCAUUGGUCAUGACUCGUCAAGAAUCACUUGAUUCUGGCAUGGUCCCGGAGGACAGGAAGAUUGCACAUGUCAAUCCACUCUUUGAGAAGGGAGGAAGGCAAAGUAAAGCAAAUUAUAGUCCAGUUAGCCUAACCUCAGUGGCUGGGAAAGUGUGGAGUCAUGAUAACAGAUGAGGUUCUGGGGUACUAGGAGACUAAUGAUAUAAUGACAAAGCCAGCAUAGGUUCUGUACAGGGAAAUCUUGCCUGACAAGUCUUCGAGGAAGUCAUAAGCAGGAUGGACAAACGAGAGGCAGUGGAUAUCAUUUACUUGGAUUUUCAGAAAGCAUCUGAUAAGGUGUCACACAUGAAACUGCUUAACAGGAUAAAAAUCCGAAGUAAUACUGGCAUGGAUAGAGGAAUGGCUGACAGCCAAGAGGCAGCGAGUGGGAAUAAAAGGGGCCUUUUCUGGUUGGCCAGCAGUGAUUAGUGGUCUUCAGGGGUCAGUAUUCGGACCGGAACUUCUUACAUAGUUUGUCAAUGACUUGGAUAAUGGAACUGAUGGGGUUGUGUGGCUCAGACUGUGGGAAGAGAUUCACCACAUCAUCUCACCUAGUGACUCACCAGUCAGUUCACACUGCAGAGAGGGAUUUCACCUGCUCUGUCUGUGGGAAGGGAUUUGCUCAGUCAUCUAACCUACAGAGACACCAGCAAGUUCACACUGGGGAGAAGCUGUUCACCUGCUCAGACUGUGGGGAUGGAUUCACUCGAUCAUUCAACUUAUAGGGACACCAGUGAGUUCACAGUGGGGAGAGGCUGUUCACCUAUUCAGACUGUGGGAAGGGAUUCACACAGUUAGGUAGCCUACAAGUACACCAGUUAGUUCACACUGGGGACCGGCCGUUCACCUGUUCAGACUGUGGGAAGGGAUUCACCACAUCAUCUCACCUAGUGACUCACCAGUCAGUUUACACUGCAGAGAGGGAUUUCACCUGCUCAGAUUGUGAGAAGGGAUUCACUCAGUUAUCUGAUCUACUGGCACACCAGUGAGUUCCACUGGGGAGAGGCCGUCGACCUCUGAAUGUGGGAAGGCAUUCACACGAUUAUCUCGUCUAUUAAAACACCAGCAAGUUCACACCGGUUAGAUGAUGAUCGUCUACUCAGACUUUGCGAAGAGAUUCUCUCAACCGUCUUCACGAAUGCUGCAUCAUUGUGUUCCACUGGGGAGAGGCCGUUCACCUGCUGUGAAUAUGGGAAGGGAUUCACUCAAUAAUCUAACCUUGUAACACACGACUGGGUUCACAUUGGGGAGAAAGAUCCAAUAAGCUGCAAGCUGGAUAUUAGUCCAUCCCCAUUGCUGAAUGCAAUUUCAAGAGUGACUGGGGGAGCCUAGUACAAAAGGGCAUGACUCAAGGUUUGCAGGGCGCCCAUGCAGAACAGAGAUGUGGAGAAUUUUUUUUAGUCAGAGGGUGGUGAAUCUGUGGCAUUUUUUUGACACGGGCAGCAGUGGAGGCCAAGUCAUUGGGUGUGUUUAAGGCAGAGAUUGAUAGGUAUCUGAGUAGUCAGGACAUCAAAGGUUAUGGUGAGAAGGUGGGGGAAUGGGACUAAAGGGCAGAUUGGAUCAGCUCAUGAUGAAAUGGUGGAGCAGACUCGAAGGGCCAAAUGGCCGAUUCUGCUCCUGUGUCUUGUGGUCGUUUUUUUUCUCAUGUGCGUUAUUCUUCUU